rnacentral:rRNA from 1 species
UACAGAGCGUGCAAGCGUUGUUCGGAAUUAUUGGGCGUAAAGCGCGUGUAGGCGGCAUGGCAAGUCGGGUGUGAAAGCCCUCAGCUCAACUGAGGAAGUGCGCCCGAAACUGCUUUGCUUGAGUGCUGGAGAGGGUCGCGGAAUUCCCCAAGUAGAGGUGAAAUUCGUAGAUAUGGGAGGAACACCGGUGGCGAAGGCGGCGGACCUGGACAGUAACUGACGCUGAGACGCGAAAGCGUGGGUAGCAAACAGG